rnacentral:tRNA from 1 species
GCCCUGGUGGUGGAAUUGGUAGACACAAGGGAUUUAAAAUCCCUCGGCGUUCGCGCUGUGCCGGUUCAAGUCCGGUCCGGGGCACCA